rnacentral:lncRNA from 1 species
AAGUCUGUGGUCCUCCUGAUCAGGAAAAAUCCAUAUUAGUUAAAAAAAAAAGAAAAAAACAAAACAAAACAAAACAAAACAAACCAUGUGUCCUCCAAAAUGAACUUCUCUGCAUUUUCAUUAAGAUUUGGUUCUGAGGCUGCCUCGGCUUGUGGAAUUUUCAUAUUUGUGAAAUUCAGGAACAUUACCUCUUCCAGACAGACAUAAUGGCUGUAAUAAGCAGGGAAGCCUCUGUUCUAAUAAACAAGAAACUAUGGCUGACAAUAAAUGCAUAAACAUGCUAGCUAGCAACCCCUCUCAUAGCAUAUAACCCAGCAUAUAACCCACAAAUGCCUGCACAUGUGGGAUCAGGCAUUCUGAUCUAAUUAAUAGAUACGUGCAUAUGUCAGUAAUGGGACCAUCUUCAUUGUCUUUAAAAUUGAAAGUAUCAUCUUUUUCACUUCAGAAAAGUAAACCACUCCAGCUACUCUUGUCUUCUGUGUAAUCUGCUUAAACUUGGGUUUCAUAGUAACGAUGUGUGAUUAUUAUACAAAAUGCCUUGAGAUCAUAUGAAUACCGACCUCAGUAUGUAGGUAGGUUGUUUCCAAACUUAGUUACAAGGAUUUGGUUUGUCCAUCCUUGGGAUAUGACAGUAGUGAUAGAGGACUGAAGGAAGAAGGCAGCUAGCAUUAACAAACAACCUUAAACCAACAGGCUGUCCUUGUUGAGCUAGAAAGGAGGGAAACCACACAGGGAGACAAUGACCCAAAUGGAGCUCUGUCCUGUUUUCAGGAGGACUGGUGCUUACCUUCCAUAACAGAAGCCAUUCCCACUCUCACUUCCCUGGAGAAGGCCGCAAAACUAUUUUCAGCAAAUAGUGGCCACAGUUAAUUCCCUGGCCAAGAUCAGAAAUCUUUGAGGUCCUGUCUAUAAAUAUUUUUCUAAAGAUUACUUUAUAAACUUUUCUUAUUCUUCUUAUGUCUUUAUUGUAGCAACAAUAGGUAUGAUUGCUUAUUAAUCUUUUCUUAACUCCUUUCUUCGUGUAAUAAUGGCUCUCAUGAAUACCCCUUGCUUUUCUACCCUCCUCUCAUCUUUCCAAAGUUAUAGCUUCCAAGAAGUUUCUUUGAUGAAGAAACAAGGAAAGCAAUUAGCCCAGUGGCUAGAGACACAGGCUCAUAAUUCAGAAAGACUUGAUUGUUAUCUUGGUCACUGUUUUAGUCGGGAUAAGUCAUGUUUUGCUGUAGCAACAAAUAGCACUACAUUUCUCACCUUUAAGAAAAGAUUUAUUUAUAUAUUUUGUGUAUAUGAGUACACUGAUGCUGUCUUCAGACACACACCAGAAAAGGGCAUUGUAUCCUACUACAGAUGGUUGUGAGACACCGUGUGGUUGCUGAGAUUUGAACUCAGGACCUCUGGAAGAGCAUCCAGUGCUCUUAACCUCUGAGCUAUCUCUCCAGUCCCCAUUUUUCACUUUUUAAUCACAAUAAAAUUCACUUGGUUUUACAUCACAUCAGUGAAAGUUCAAGCAACUAUAAGGAUGAAGCUCUCAUGUAGUGGCUCAGCAAGCCAACAUUUUCCUAAUCCAUGGCACCUCCAUGUAACACGUAUUACCAUUAUUAUGCACAAGGAUCAAGCACUAAACAUCGUAUGCCAGUUUUUAAAUUUGUCAUCCCAGAAUUACCUUAUCUGUUGAAAGUCAUAAUAUGUUGACCAAGCCAGUCUCAAGACACUAAUUUCAUGGAAAAUGUAAUGAGAAUUAAGAACGUUGGUGGUCACUGCUUGUGAUUGCCAUGAUUACAAGCUUUUUGAUCUUGGGCAAACUGCUUAGUUCCUGUCUAUAAAAUGGGAAAAUCAGUAGUGUCUCCACGAUAGUUGAAAUGAAAUAAACUAAGUACCCAGAGUGCUUGGUGUGGUACCUUGCACACUGCAAGCACACAAGAAGAAGUAAGCGCUGUUAUCAAAUACAGAAUAUUUACACACUCCUUGCUUACUUAGAAGAUAGGAAAAUGCCGGGCAGUGGUGGCGCACACCUUUAAUCCCAGCACUUGGGAGGCAGAGGCAGGCGGAUUUCUGAGUUUGAGGCCAGCCUGAUCUACAGAAUGAGUUCCAGGACAGCCAGGCUACACAGAGAAACCCUGUCUCGAAAAACAAAACCAAAAACCAAACCAAACCAAACCAAAACAAACAACCCCCCCCCCCCCAAAAAAAGGAAAAGGAUAGGAAGAUGUGACUAUUAGGGCUUAAAAGGAAAGGCAAAAGAUCCACCCUUAAAUCCAUCAUUUUAACUACUGGGCAUCCACAAAGGGCCAGGUCCUAAAAGUCAGGUAUGAGUAGCUAUUCCUUUCUUUUUAUUAAUAAUAAUAAUUAUUAUUGAUUAUGAGUUUCAUAUCAUGUACCCCUAUCCCACUCAUCUCUCAUCCCCUCAUAUCUGCCCUUUUCCCUUACAAUGUUCCCUCAAAUUAACAUACAUACAUACACACACACACACACCAGCAACAAACUCAAAUAAUAGGAAACAUCUCAUGGUGGAAGCCAUAGUACAUCACAGUGCGUCCCACAGUAGAUCCCUCUGUCCGCACAUCUUCACUUGUAAGUGUUCAUUGCAAUGAGUCACUGAUCUGGCUUCUGUGACACCAUAAAUAUUGGAUGCUCAUUGAGACUUCCAGUUAUCCUGCUAUUGCCCUGUGCCCUGGAGAUCCUGCAGCUUAGGACCAGCAGGCUUGGCUCUUUCAUGUGUCCCAACCCUUUGCAGAUGAUAUAGAUUUGGGGGCGGGCCAACUCAAAGCCCCGCUUCUGGGCCUGGGGGCAUAGCUGAAUUGGUCAGCCUGCUGGCUAUCCCUUAUCUGCACCACCAGGGCUUGUUCUCCAGCAUUUCUCUGGCUAGGCCACCCAGUGCCACUGUCAUCAAGAGGAAGGAUCAGCCCUCCUGCUGUCAUGCCCUUGGGACUGACUCACCCCACACCACACCUCCAGGGCCAGCUCCACUGUGCUGCCCAGGCAAGGCAUGGGCCCAUGAAUGACUAUUCUUUAGACUCAUGAAAAAUUUGAUAUAAUCUAAUCACGUUUUACCUUAUUGUGACAAUCUAGUAUGAAUGGUUCUUUACUUAUCAACUGCCUCUUAUAUCAUUCAAUAAACUUAGAGAAACCAGGUGGCAUAUACAGUAAGAUACUUUCUAAUGGAGUACUAAUUACACAUAGGUAGGUAGGAAAAGGGGAACUGAUGGGAAAUUUUGAGUUAUUCAAAAAGGUACCAUUUGGCUAUCUUUAGACCCAGUGAACAAAAGAAGAAAGUGAUGGCCUAGGAGGACUGUCCCAUAGAAGUGUAAGUCAUAGUGGCAUGUAGCUACUGCCAGAACUCCGACAAAUCAGGCAGGAAAAAAAAAAAAGAGGAAUACAUAGCCCAAUCUCUCUUCUCCCUCUUAUCUUAUCUCUAUUGGCCAAACUCAGCUGAAGCUACAGGACACGGGGACUCUGCGGACUCUGGGGACUCUGGGUCAUAGAGAUCAACGUCCAAGGCAAAGAGGUCAUCUAGACUGGGAA